rnacentral:rRNA from 1 species
GGGUCAGUAGGUUGGUCGUGCCACCGGUACGUACUGGUCUCACUGAUUCCUCCUUCCCGAAGAACCGUAAUGCCAUUAAUUUGGUGUUGCGGGGAAACAGGACUGUUACUUUGAAAAAAUUAGGGUGUUUAAAGCAAGCUAACGCUUGAAUACAUUAGCAUGGAAUAAUGAAAUAGGACGAUCGAUCCUAUUUUGUUGGUUUCUAGGAUUGACGUA